rnacentral:rRNA from 1 species
GUUGAAAGGGAAGCAAAUGGAAACAGUGUGUUUCCGUACCAUUCUUCCUUCGUGGCUUGCCACGGGGGCGCUGUGGUGCGGGAGUGGUCAGCAUGGGUUUGACUCGGAGCAUAUAGCUAUUCAGGAGGCAUCUGUCUUUUCAGAGAUUACUGUUUAGUGUUGUUCUGGGUUGGAUCGAGGUUAGUAUUUCGUGAUGCUGACGAAAUGUUUCUAUUUACCCCGUCUUGAAACACGGACCAAGGAGUCUAACAUAUGUGCGAGUACAGGGGUGGCAAACCCCCGUGCGCAAUGAAAGUGACAGUGGUUGGACCUUUUGGGCACAAUCCGCCGGCCUCAAUCCUUCGGGAGAACGGUCUGAGUGUGAGCAUACAUGUUGGGACCCGAAAGAUGGUGAACUAUGCCUGAAUAGGGUGAAGCCACCGGAAACGGUGGUGGAGGCUCGUAGCGGUUCUGACGUGCAAAUCGAUCGUCAAAUUUGGGUAUAGGGGCGAAAGACUAAUCGAACCAUCU